UACGUAGGUGGCAAGCGUUAUCCGGAUUUAUUGGGCGUAAAGGGAACGCAGGCGGUCUUUUAAGUCUGAUGUGAACGCCUUCGGCUUAACCGGAGUAGUGCAUUGGAAACUGGGAGACUUGAGUGCAGAAGAGGAGAGUGGAACUCCAUGUGUAGCGGUGAAAUGCGUAGAUAUAUGGAAGAACACCAGUGGCGAAAGCGGCUCUCUGGUCUGUAACUGACGCUGAGGUUCGAAAGCGUGGGUAGCAAACAGG
rnacentral:rRNA from 1 species